AAGGCAGGCUGGGCGGUUGCCCGUAACGGGAGGAAAGUCCGAGCUUUCAAGGGCAAGGUGCCUCGUAACGCGAGGAGUCUGUAAGGACAUGGAAAGCGCCACAGAAAAUAAACUUCCCCAACUGAAUGAUUAAUCAUUUCGUUGUGGUAAAGGUGAAAAGGUGGUGUAAGAGACCACCGCCUUGGUGGAGACAUCAAGGGCACGGCAAGCCCCACCUGAAAGAAAGGCCAAGCAGAAGAGAUGAGGUUGCCCGCCUCUUUUGAUCUUCGGGUAGGCUGUUUGAGGACGGAUGCGAAUCCGCCCCUAGAUGAAUAAUCGCUAUCUGUAUAGAUACAGAACUCGGCUUACAGGCCUGCCUUUAAU
rnacentral:RNase_P_RNA from 1 species